AUACCGUGGUGUGGGCACUUCCGCAAAAGCUCCUUAAAUCUCUCCCAUGCAUCACUGGUUGAUUCAUCUUCAAGCUGCUGGAAUGACAUGAUUUCACUUCGAAAUUU